rnacentral:rRNA from 1 species
CCCUUAGAUGUUCUGGGCCGCACGCGUGCUACACUGAUGCAUUCAACGAGUCUAAAACCUGGUCUGAUAGGGCUGGGUAAUCUUUUGAAAGUGCAUCGUGAUUGGGAUAGAUGAUUGCAAUUCUUCAUCUUCAACGAGGAAUGCCUAGUAAACGCAAGUCAUCAGCUUGCAUUGAUUACGUCCCUGCCCUUUGUACACACCGCCCGUCGCUCCUACCGAUUGAAUGAUCCGAUGAAUACCAUGGAUUGAGAGUACGAAUAGGUUCGCUUAUUUCUGCUGCUCGAGAAGUGGAGUAAAUCUUAUCACUUAGAGGAAGGAGAAGUCGUAACA